rnacentral:misc_RNA from 1 species
GAUGAAGAACGUAGCGAAAUGCGAUAAGUAAUGUGAAUUGCAGAAUUCAGUGAAUCAUCGAAUCUUUGAACGCACCUUGCGCCCUUUGGUCAUUCCGAAGGGCAUGCCUGUUUGAGUAUCAUGAACACCUCAACUCUUCAUGGUUUUCCGUGAUGAGCUUGGACUUUGGGGGUCUUGCUGGCCUAUGGUCAGCUCCUCUAAAAUAAAUCAGCUUGCCAGUGUUUGGUGGGUAUCACAGGUGUGAUAACUAUCUACGCUUGUGGUUUUCCACCAGGUAACCUUCAGCAGUGGAGGUUCGCUGGAGCUCACAGAUGUGUCUCUCCUCAGUGAGGACAGCUCUUUGAAUGUUUGAUCUCAAAUCAGGUAGGACUACCCGCUGAACUUAAGCAUAUCAAUAAGCGGAGGA